GUCCGCACCGUAAACGAUGAUCACUCGUUGUUGGCGAUACACAGUCAGCGACUAAGCGAAAGCAUUAAGUGAUCCACCUGGGAAGUACGACCGCAAGGUUGAAACUCAAAGGAAUUGACGGGGGCCCGCACAAGCGGAGGAGCAUGUGGUUUAAUUCGAUGGUACGCGAGGAACCUUACCUGGGCUUGAAAGACAGUUGACCGUUUCCGAAAGGAGACUUUCGCAAGACAAUUGUCUAGGUGCUGCAUGGCUGUCGU
rnacentral:rRNA from 1 species